GACGGGGGAUGCAAGCGUUAUCCGGAAUCACUGGGCGUAAAGCGUCUGUAGGUGGUGAUGCAAGUCACUGGUGCAAAACUCUGGCUCAACCGGAGGAAAGCCAGUGAAACUGCAUGACUAGAGUGUGGGAGAGGUAGAAGGAAUUCCCUGAGUAGCGGUGAAAUGCGUAGAUACAGGGAAGAACACCGGAGGCGAAAGCGUUCUACUGGAACACAACUGACACUGUGAGGCGAAAGCUAGGGUAGCGAAUGGG
rnacentral:rRNA from 1 species